UACGUAGGUGACAAGCGUUGUCCGGAUUUACUGGGCGUAAAGAGCGCGCAGGCGGUCGAUCAAGUCGAGUGUGAAAGCCCCCGGCUCAACUGGGGAGGGUCAUUCGAAACUGGUCGACUCGAAGGCAGGAGAGGGUAGUGGAAUUCCCGGUGUAGUGGUGAAAUGCGUAGAUAUCGGGAAGAACACCGGUGGCGAAGGCGGCCAUCUGGACCACAACUGACGCUGAGGCGCGAAAGCGUGGGGAGCAAACAGG
rnacentral:rRNA from 1 species